rnacentral:rRNA from 1 species
GACGAACGCUGGCGGCGUGCUUAACACAUGCAAGUCGAACGGAAAGGCCCUGCUUUUGUGGGGUGCUCGAGUGGCGAACGGGUGAGUAACACGUGAGUAACCUGCCCUUGACUUUGGGAUAACUUCAGGAAACUGGGGCUAAUACCGGAUAGGAGCUCCUGCUGCAUGGUGGGGGUUGGAAAGUUUCGGCGGUUGGGGAUGGACUCGCGGCUUAUCAGCUUGUUGGUGGGGUAGUGGCUUACCAAGGCUUUGACGGGUAGCCGGCCUGAGAGGGGGACCGGCCAAAUUGGGAUUGGGCUACGGCCCAGACUCCUAUGGGAGGCAGCAGUGGGGAAUAUUGCAUAACGCGCGGAAGCCUAAUGUGGCACAGCCGCGUGGGGGAUAUGGGCCUGCGGGUAGGAAACCGAUUUCCUCUGUGACGAAGCGUGAGUGACGGUAAUGGGUAAAGAAGCACCGGCUAACUACGUG